rnacentral:rRNA from 1 species
GUGCACCAGGCGCGAAACUUCACACUGUGCGAAAGCACGAUGAGGGAAUCCCAAGUGCUUGCACGUAAGUGUAAGCUGUUUCUCUGUUUAAAACGCAGAGAGAGUAAGGGCUGGGUAAGACGGGUGCCAGCCGCCGCGGUAAUACCUGCAGCCCAAGUGGUGACCGUUAUUAUUGGGCCUAAAACGUCCGUAGCCGGUUUAAUAAAUGCCUGGGUAAAUCGUGUAGCUUAACUAUACGAAUUCCGGGUAGACUGUUAAACUCGAGACCGGGAGAAGUUAGAGGUACUCCUGGGGUAGAGGUGAAAUUCUGUAAUCCUAGGGGGACCACCAGUGGCGAAGGCGUCUAACUAGAACGGGUCUGACGGUGAGGGACGAAGCCCUGGGGCGCAAACGGGAUUAGAUACCCCGGUAGU